rnacentral:sRNA from 2 species
AUAGGGAAUGAUAUCAAUAGCCUAAGUCAUACGGGGAAACCAUAUUUUGGGGUGAAUCGCUUUUUAGCGUAGGUUUUGCCUUUACCUAACCCGUCAGCUAACCUCGUAGAAUAAAAGGAGGAAGAAA